ensembl:lncRNA
GAAAUUCUGUCAUAAUUAGCGCAUAAAUCCGUGAAUUAUGGCCAGAAAUGUUAUUUGUGACCUUCACCUUUGACUGUCAUAUUCUCAUCAGCUCAUUGUUGGAUCCAAGUGGACGUUUCUGUCAUUUUUGACGCAACUAUGCUGAAUGCAGUGAAGGUUUUGAAAGAUUUUGUUAAGUGAGAAGUGAGAAGAUUAGUGUCACUAUAAUUAAUAUCUGGAACCAGAAAAUUAUUUUGCAGUAAGUUGUGAUGUCACAGCGAGGUUGACCUUUGACAUUUUGAGUCUAAAAUGUCAUCACUUCCUCUUUAUAUCUAAUUAGACAUCUGUGUGAAAGUGUGUCAUAAUUAGCACUUACAUUUUUGAAUUAUGGCCAAACUCGUGAUUUAUGACCGUCACCUUUGACUGUCAUAUUCUCAUUAGUUCCUUAUUGGAUCCAAGUGGACACCGGUGUCAAAUUUGAUUAGUUUCCCCCAAGAUAUUCAAGAGAUAUUGCGUCCACGAGAAUGGGAUGGACAACCUGAAAACAUAACGCCUCCAGGAGUGACUGUCGCUGCUGCAGAGGCAUAAAAAGAGGAGAGUGUGAGCAGUGGGGAAGAUGUCAGCAGAAAGAGGAGAGGCUCAGCUAAUGACACUGGAGUGAAAAAUAUGAGGAGAUUCUUCUGCUGCAUUCAAAGGUGGAUGCUGUGCUCAGACAUGUUUGUGUUUACUAAAAAUGAACACUCCAUUUUCAGUAAACACUUUGGGGUUCCUACAUGAGUGUCAUUUGUCUUUUUAAAUACAGAACCUGGAAUUUCUCCCAGUCAGAACCAAUCUGAUGAAUGGGUUCUUUAAGACUUAGUGGUUCAAAUAAUUAAGAGAGCUUGAACACAACAAUUUACAGACCAAUUUCCACACACAUGAUGGCUUGUUGAUGUGUAACUGAGCACAUACAUGCAGUUAAACCCACACAUACUCUGAACCACUCACACUAUUCUGAUCUUUUUUGCACAGGCGCCCCUCUGGUUGAACAUCACACAGUGCAAUAGUAUCAACAGAAGAUUUGUAUUAUAUUAGGCAAUGAAAACCUGCAUUACAAUAGGACAACAUGAUCAGGAAGUGAGUUGGAAUAAACAUUAACAGUGAAUAAAAUGCAUCAGGAAUUAUUAAUUAAAAAAAAAAAAAGACAGUCUUCAAGAAGUAUUCCAUUUUAAAUAUGUGUAUUUAUAUAUUUAGUAACUGAGUUGCAGAUGAAUGCUGUUAUUUUUAGAAUAGGAACCUGUACUGUCAGUGAUGUGGACAUGCAGCAGUGCAGUGUGCACCUAUUUGUGUGAUUUAAAAGCCUCCCCUAGCUUGCAGCGAUAGCGCCCUUGGCCUCCCAUUGAAGUGUGCAGUAUUUUUCCUGUGAUGGGCUGGGCUAAGCAUUUUCUGAUCCAACACAUGGAAGCAUCACAGCGUUCUCAGAGCCCGCUGUGCACGCCGUGAACAGCCCUGCAGCUGAAGCUCUUUGGCUGACAACAUGUGUGUGUCCCUGUGUUUAUUUAUAGCUGAGGGGCUGAACUGGGGUUGAAAGUGGGGACACAUUUUAGUGUGACACCAGCAGUGAGACAGAGGUUAUAUAUGGGUGCAAACCACUUGGAUCCUCUUCUCAUCCUAUAUUUAGAGACAGUUUGCUCUUUAACCAGAAUCUUUUGGGGGUUUUUUCACCCUCCUGCCCUCUUUCUAAUUCUGGAUGCGCUGAACAGAGGCAGCUAUAGAUGCAAUAACAAGUGUUUACUUUUCCGGUGUUUGCUGUUGCAUUGAUGGUCUAUUAUAUAUCAAGAAGGAAUCAUGUUUGUAUAUAAAUAUAUGCUGUAUGUUUAAUAAAUAAGCAUCUGCAAUGUGUGUGUAGGUGUGUGUGUGUGUGUGUGUGUGUGUGUGUGUGUGUGUGUGUGUGUGUGUGUGUGUGUGUGUGUGUGUUUGUUUGUGUGUGUGUGUGUGUGUGUGUGUGUGUGCAUUCCUUUACAUGCUGUGUGUGUGUGUGUGUGUGUGUGUGUGUUUGUGUGUGUGUGUGUGUGUGUGUGUGUGUGUGUGUGUGUGUGUGUGUGUGUGUGUGUGUGUGUGUGUGUGUGUGUGUGUGUGUGUGUGUGUUUGUGUGUGUGUGUGUGUGUGUGUGUGUGUGUGUGUGUGUGUGUGUGUGUGUGUGUGUGUGUAGGUGUGUGUAGGUGUGUGUGUGUGUGUGUGUGUGUGUGUGUGUGUGUGUGUGUGUGUGUGUGUGUGUGUGUGUGUGUGUGUAGGUGUGUGUAGGUGUGUGUGUGUGUGUGUGUGUGUGUGUGUGUGUGUGUGUGUGUGUGUGUGUGUGUGUGUGUGUGUGUGUGUGUCGGUGAGGGGCAGGCCAAUCGAGCCUCUCUGCAGUCUGAGUGACAUCACCAGGCAGCAUCACGCUCCUUUAUUUAUCCUCCACCUGAGGCUCUGGUUACUCUUUCACCGAUGACGUAGUAGACAUCCUGCUGUUAUCACGCUCCCUCCUGCUCCUUUUCUUCCUUUCUUUUUUAAAUUUUUUUAUUUGCACCAUUGUGCUUUUGCAUUCAGACAGCAACUGUGUGAUUUCAAGCCUAUGAGUCACUUAAAAAAAAAAUAAAUAAAUAAAAUCAAUUGUAUAAUUCGUGAGGCUGGCAGUUGUUUUUUCUUCUCAAGAGGCACUUUAGGCUCUCAGGCAAUCUGUGUUCUUUCUGACAACCAAUUCUAUCUCUGUGAUUCAGCUUUCUUUUCCUGUGAUCAAGUACACAUGUACCAGACUGAGCAAUAGGUAGUGAGAAAAAAAAGAAGCUUGGCAGGUAAAGCUGUCUGCGUCAUUUUUACAAAAUAUAAACAAUUUACACCCCUAAAGGCUUUGAAACCAUGUUUGCUAAUUUAGCAAACAUUGAUCUGAAGCUCCCAUAUUUGGCUCUUUUCUGGUAAAUUAGCAAAAUUUUCACAUUGUGUCUUUGGAAUUUUCAGCUCAAAACACUACUGAGAUGGUUCAUUUGACCAUGUCCCUGCCCCCUUCAGGAAGAAGACUCUCUCUGCAUCUGUGAUUGAAAGCUCGAAGCAAAACAGUCGAGACAUGUGUGAAUGAAUAUGAGAGAGCAGGGCUUUUUAUAGCAUCUAAUUUUCUGUCUGAUUAACUGCUUUAAAUGGAAAUACAGAUGAAUUAACAGCCAUUGUUUUUAACUCGUGGGUUCAUUUAGUUGUGGUUAUAAAAUCCGGU